rnacentral:rRNA from 1 species
AUACGGAGGCGGCUAGCGUUGUUCGGAAUUACUGGGCGUAAAGCGUACGUAGGCGGACUGAUCAGUUGGGGGUGAAAUCCCAGGGCUUAACCCUGGAACUGCCUUCAAUACUGUCAGUCUUGAGUUUGGGAGAGGUGAGUGGAAUUCCUAGUGUAGAGGUGAAAUUCAUAGAUAUUAGGAGGAACACCAGUGGCGAAGGCGGCUCACUGGCCCAUUACUGACACUGAGGUACGAAAGCGUGGGGAGCAAACAGGAUUAGAUACCCUAGUAGUCC